CUUCCCUAGUCAAAAGAACUGGGUCAUGUGGGAGCCAACACUGUUUAAAAGGGAGAGGCAGUCGCUUUCUCGUGGAAGCAGCCCUUGUGGAGGACGACUGUCACUUCCGAACCUUCUUUGCUAAGUCCCUGCUCGGCUGAUCGAGUCCUGCGGAACAGGUGCUUUUUAAAAAGCCUGUGCAAGUAGGAGAGCUCACUCUGCAAAGAGAGAGUCACACAGGACAGCGAGAAAGUGGCUUCCCAACUUCCGCGGGGCGCGCGAGCCAGGCAGGCGGGACAGGACGAUCGGAGAGUUUGAGAAAGGCCUGGGUCCCCCUGAAGACUUCCCGCAACCCAACGUCCCACCACCGUCCCUGGCGCACACCUGCCAGUGCAUGGCGAGCGAGAAGCCGAAGAGGCUCCCGGGAUCCCCCGAUUUCCGGAUCACGUUCUCCUCGCGGGUGUCCAGGUUGAAGGCUGCGCCCAGACGGGCCAGAAGCCCCGCGGACAGGUCCAUCACUGAGGGAACUCCAGACAGGAACCUGGAGCAGAGACAGAGGAUGAAAGCUGCUGCUUACUGGUGUGCUCCUUCCGGCUGUGUUGAGCCAGAUACAAGGCAGGACCAACUGUCCAAGGCAGGGUAACAUUCACAAUGGGCUGGACACUGCUGAAGCAGGAUAGUGGCCUUUCUUCCCAACCCAACAUCCAGGCAUUGGAGGUGGGAGGUUGCUUAGAAAGCUGUGUGAACCCCAUCUGGGGUCUUCAUGGUGGCGGCAGCUGCCGGAGUGAGUGGCCCAGUAGAUGUACACUUCCUGCCAAUCUGUAACUCCAGUCAAAUCUAGCCCACAGUGGGGGGUAAUGGAUCCAAGUACAGAUGGUCUUGAAGAUCACAGUCUGAACAGACACAUCGGGAUAAGGCUGAGCAAUUGUUGGAAAUGACCAUCUAGUAAAGUGGGAAGUAUCAGCAA